rnacentral:rRNA from 1 species
UACGGAGGGGGCUAGCGUUGUUCGGAAUUACUGGGCGUAAAGCGCGCGUAGGCGGCUUUGUAAGUCAGAGGUGAAAGCCUGGAGCUCAACUCCAGAACUGCCUUUGAGACUGCAUCGCUAGAAUCAUGGAGAGGUUAGUGGAAUUCCGAGUGUAGAGGUGAAAUUCGUAGAUAUUCGGAAGAACACCAGUGGCGAAGGCGGCUCACUGGCCCGGUACUGACGCUGAGGUGCGAAAGCGUGGGGAGCAAACAGG